rnacentral:rRNA from 1 species
GACAGAGGGGGCAAGCGUUGCUCGGAAUCACUGGGCGUAAAGGGCGCGUAGGCGGGAUGGCAAGUCAGUCGUGAAAUCUCUCGGCUCAACCGAGAAACGUCGGCUGAUACUGCCGUUCUUGAGGGAUGCAGAGGAGACUGGAAUUCCCGGUGUAGCGGUGAAAUGCGCAGAUAUCAGGAGGAACACCGGUGGCGAAGGCGGCGCUCUGGGCCGGUACUGACGCUGAGGAGCGAAAGCGUGGGGAGCAAACAGG